AGGACGAACGCUGGCGGCGUACUUAACACAUGCAAGUCGAGCGGAAAGGCCCUUCGGGGUACUCGAGCGGCGAACGGGUGAGUAACACGUGAGUAAUCUGCCCCUAGCUCUGGGAUAGCUCCGGGAAACCGGGAUUAAUACUGGAUACGACCACCUUAGACAUCUUUUGUGGUGGAAAGAAUUUCGGCUAGGGAUGAGCUCGCGGCCUAUCAGCUUGUUGGUGGGGUAACGGCCUACCAAGGCGACGACGGGUAGCCGGCCUGAGAGGGCGACCGGCCACACUGGGACUGAGACACGGCCCAGACUCCUACGGGAGGCAGCAGUGGGGAAUAUUGCGCAAUGGGCGAAAGCCUGACGCAGCGACGCCGCGUGGGGGAUGAAGGCCUUCGGGUUGUAAACCCCUUUCAGCAGGGACGAAGCGAAAGUGACGGUACCUGCAGAAGAAGCGCCGGCUAACUACGCGCCAGCAGCCGC
rnacentral:rRNA from 1 species